CCCUCUUCUUUCUGUUUUUGUUGUUUUACAUUUCUCCAUGUGGAUUACCAAGCAGCUGAAACCAAAGAUUGCUGUUGAUUUUCAACCUUAAUGGUUAAUAACCUUGUGGCCAGUUAUGCCCACAAUUUUAACCUUCCAAGGAAAAAUGGUACAAUGCCCAACAACCUUCCAAAGAAAUUAUUGACUACCAACUAGCGUUGAGAGUAGGAUGCUAAAAUAAUUCCCUGAUGACGAAUCCAUGGAGCAGACAAGCAGUCCAACAAGGAUAUGAAGAAGUUAGCAGAGCCAUUGAGUCAUCAUAUGCCCCUUUUU
rnacentral:misc_RNA from 1 species